GUUGUCAAAACAAGGGUUGAUUGUUUAGGUAAUCUAAAGUAAAUCAUCUGGUCUGAUGGACGAACGAAACUCACUGGAGUCUAUGGAGGAGCGGUCAGAGUUGAUGGUUGAACUGGAACAGAGGACAUCAGGAAGUUGGAGCAGAAAGUUGGAUUAAAAUCAUAAAGACCUAGGCUCGCCGGAGACGGUGAGAAGCUGGUGGAGGUUUCGGAGCUCAGUCCGUUGGUACCAUGCGGAUCUACUUGAACGGAAGCGUCGCCGGAAGUUUGCCGGAAGAGAAACUAAAACUAUGGAGAUAGAGAGAUCUGGUGUUGAGACGCUAUAGCUCACGAAAGAUAUCACGGCAACGUUGAUUAAUUAUCAUCAAGAGUCAAGAAGGAAGACAAAGGUUCGUGAUCUCCAAUGUCUCCAACGAGAAAGAAGAAGAUACGGGAGGAGAUGAAGUCAGUUGGGCCACAAGGUGGAGAUUGUUGAAGAUGGGCCCAACU
rnacentral:lncRNA from 1 species